rnacentral:rRNA from 1 species
AACGAACGCUGGCGGCAUGCCUAACACAUGCAAGUCGAACGAAGCCUUCGGGCUUAGUGGCGCACGGGUGCGUAACACGUGGGAAUCUGCCCUUCGGUUCGGAAUAACAGUUAGAAAUGACUGCUAAUACCGGAUGAUGACGAAAGUCCAAAGAUUUAUCGCCGAAGGAUGAGCCCGCGUAGGAUUAGGUAGUUGGGUAGGGUAAUGGCCUACCAAGCCGACGAUCCUUAGCUGGUCUGAGAGGAUGAUCAGCCACACUGGGACUGAGACACGGCCCAGACUCCUACGGGAGGCAGCAGUGGGAAUAUUGGACAAUGGGCGAAAGCCUGAUCCAGCAAUGCCGCGUGAGUGAUGAAGGCCUUAGGGUUGUAAAGCUCUUUUACCAGGGAUGAUAAUGACAGUACCUGGAGAAUAAGCUCCGGCUAACUCCGUGCCAGCAGCCGCGGUAAU